GAUGAACGCUGGCGGCGUGCCUAAUACAUGCAAGUCGAGCGAACGGACGAGAAGCUUGCUUGUCUGAUGUUAGCGGCGGACGGGUGAGUAACACGUGGAUAACCUACCUAUAAGACUGGGAUAACUUCGGGAAACCGUAGCUAAUACCGGAUAAUAUUUUGAACCGCAUGGUUCAAAAGUGAAAGACGGUCUUGCUGUCACUUAUAGAUGGAUCCGCGCUGCAUUAGCUAGUUGGUAAGGUAACGGCUUACCAAGGCAACGAUGCAUAGCCGACCUGAGAGGGUGAUCGGCCACACUGGAACUGAGACACGGUCCAGACUCCUACGGGAGGCAGCAGUAGGGAAUCUUCCGCAAUGGGCGAAAGCCUGACGGAGCAACGCCGCGUGAGUGAUGAAGGUCUUCGGAUCGUAAAACUCUGUUAUUAGGGAAGAACAUAUGUGUAAGUAACUGUGCACAUCUUGACGGUACCUAAUCAGAAAGCCACGGCUAACUACGUG
rnacentral:rRNA from 1 species